AGGUGAAACCCCAGCUGAGGAGGCAAAUAUACUCAAGGAAAGUAAUAGUUUCCAAAUGCCUGGCAGUGCCAGGAAGGGGCCAUGUCCAUGGACCACUAUGUAAGGAUAUCUCAGUCUCUAGUCCAGCGUGGUUUAUGGUGCCAAAUAAGUGCCAGGUGAACUCACUACAUCUGACAAAAUCUCAAGGAACCAAGUUUACCAGAUAAUAUUUAUGAUUAUGUGAAAAAGACUGAGGAAAUCACUCAAGUGAUCCAUCAUACAGCACCUCCAGUUCCAAAGAAUACUGACUUACUUCAGCUGUACUGGUCUGGAGCUGCACAUUCUUUUCAGACAACUCUUGUUCCAGUAAGUUCAGGUGACUCUUCUCCUGUAACAGAGCCUCCUUCUUAGAAACUAUGGCCUCCCGUUUCUUUAAGUCUGCUUCCAGCUCCUCUAAUUCUUG